CAACGACUCUCGGCAACGGAUAUCUCGGCUCUCGCAUCGAUGAAGAACGUAGCGAAAUGCGAUACUUGGUGUGAAUUGCAGAAUCCCGUGAACCAUCGAGUCUUUGAACGCAAGUUGCGCCCGAAGCCGUCAGGCCGAGGGUACGUCUGCCUGGGCGUCACGC
rnacentral:rRNA from 1 species